UGCCACACUGAAGAUUUUACUGACUAAUUUGCUGCGUGAACUCAUUCAGUGUGGCAUG
rnacentral:pre_miRNA from 1 species